rnacentral:rRNA from 1 species
GAUCAUGGCUCAGGAUGAACGCUGGCGGCAUGCCUAAGACAUGCAAGUCGAACGAGAUGGCCCAGUGAAGGUUGAGUGCUUGCACAAGACUGAAUCUGGAUUCCCAUCUAGUGGCAGACGGGUGAGUAACACGUGGGUGACCUACCUUUUCGUUGGGGAUAACAGUUGGAAACGAUUGCUAAUACCGAAUAAAAUAGUAAGAGUCAAUUUACUAUUGAAAGGAAGGCCUUUAAAACGUACUUCCGCGA